rnacentral:lncRNA from 10 species
UCAUCAGUUGUUUUUAAGUUUGUUUUUGCAAUUUAGGCUAACCGUGCUUAUUCCUGCAAACCAACCAGUGAUCUCUGACUGCUGCUCAGAAGAAACAAGAGGGAUGGAUAUCACCUCUUAUUGGAACUCAAGAGUCAUGAAUGGCCCUUGCCAUACUGAUGCUUUCUGACUGAGCUCCUCUCUACCCUGAACACAAGAGACCCUAGAAGUUAGGCAGGAAUAUCAUUGCGCCUAUUCAG